UACGUAGGGACCGAGCGUUGUCCGGAUUCAUUGGGCGUAAAGAGCUCGUAGGCGGCUGCUCAAGUCGAAUGUGAAAACUCGAGGCUCAACCUCGAGCCUGCAUUCGAUACUGGGCGGCUAGAGUCUGGUAGGGGGAUCUGGAAUUCCUGGUGUAGCGGUGGAAUGCGCAGAUAUCAGGAGGAACACCGGUGGCGAAGGCGGGAUCCUGGGCCAGUACUGACGCUGAGGAGCGAAAGCGUGGGGAGCAACAGGAUAGAUACCCCGA
rnacentral:rRNA from 1 species